rnacentral:tRNA from 1 species
GGUCGAAUGCCCGAGAGGCAAGGGGGCCGCCUGCAAAGCGGUGGACGCCGGUUCGAAUCCGGCUUCGGCCU